rnacentral:rRNA from 1 species
CGCGUAGGCGGCUUUGCAAGUUGGGCGUGAAAGCCCUGGGCUUAACCCAGGAAUUGCGCUUGAGACUGCGAGGCUUGAGUGCGGGAGAGGUGAGUGGAAUUCCCAGUGUAGAGGUGAAAUUCGUAGAUAUUGGGAAGAACACCAGUGGCGAAGGCGGCUCACUGGCCCGCAACUGACGCUGAGGCGCGAAAGCGUGGGAGCAAACA